GGAGAGUCGUCGUUACUAGAUUGUCGUACUCAGUCUAUCAUAUUUGCCGAUUUCCAACCCCCAAACGGUCUCCUCCACCCCAAGAACGAGACUCAUUUAUAAGUAUCUUUAUAAUCAUUAAUUACUGAUGUUUUUUUGGCAACAGUAAUGGGUCAGAAGCCGGAAAAUACGAUGUUCUGAGUACGAUAAUCUGGCAUCGGUGGGGUCAGUGAAGGGAAAUUUGCUUAUUUUGAUAUUUUUCCCAAAUAAACUGUGCUGGAUUGUAAUUCGCCAUUGUCACACGUUAACUAUACUCUCAUUUUCCUUUCUAAGUUAAUUAUUCUCCUUGAAAGUUGCUGGUUAGUGAAAAUUAAUGAAAAUGCUUAAGCUAAUGGCGUUUCAGAGCAGAGCGAAGUAUAGUUAUUUUGAUUUUUCCCAUAUAAUUUGCGUAGUAAUAUCUUUAUUCACUAUCGCAAGUUAACCACACUCUCAUAUUUCAUCUCCACGUUAAUUAUCCCCUCCUUAAAAGUAGCCGAUUACUUAAAAAUCAUGGAAAUCCUUAAAAGUGUGCCGUUAAAAAGUAGAAUUCCCCAACACACACAUGUAAACAAAGCGACCAACCUAGACCAGGACCAAGACAAGCCUGCCGAUGUGGAUGCGGAAAAAUUCGGUAAAAUCAAUCCAGAAAGGAGUCAGGGUCUGAAUGAGCCCUGCACAGUCCACACCAGGGAAGGGGAGCAGCGACUGAAUGCCUGACGGACUGCAAGCACGGAGGAGGUCAAGAUUCGGAGAUGAGGAUGUGCGGAGAUGCGAGUGUGACGGCUGCCGAGAUGUAUAGGAAAUAGUGGAAAUCUUCAUCGAUAACCCACAUGUGAAAACCACUCAGGAAUUGACUGGCUAACGGAGCGACUGGGAAUUCGGAAGAGGUGAAGCUUCUAUUCGGAGGCGAGGAUGUACCGACAGACAAAAGUGACGGGUGCCGGAAUCUAUAGGAACUAGGAGAAAUCUUCAUUGAUAACCCACGUGUGAAAACCACUCAGGAAUUGACUGGCUAACGGAGCGACUGGGAAUUCGGAAGAGGUGAAGCUUCUAUUCGGAGACGAGGAUGUACUGACAGACAAGAGUGACGGCUGCCGGAAUCUAUAGGAACUAGGAGAAACCUUCAUUGAUAGGCCACGUGUGAAAACCACUCAGGAAUUGACUGGCUAACGGAGCGAGUGGGAAUUCGAAAGAGGUGAAGCUUCUAUUCGGAGACGAUCGAGGAUGUACUGACAGACAAGAGUGACGGCUCCCGGAAUCUAUAGGAACUAGGAGAAAUCUUCAUCGAUAAGCUCUUAGGAAUUGACUGGGUAACGGAUUGACUGUAAAGAUGGAAGAGCUGGAGGGAUUGCUCGAAGAUAUUAAGGAUGAGCGGGAGUACAAGUGUCUGCAGUGCCGGGAUGUGUUCCAGAGUAGCAGCCACCUCAUCCAGCACACCCUUACCCACGUUGGGAUUCGGGUCUACAUGUGUGAGAUAUGCAAGAAGCUAUUUUACACCAAAGAGCUGCUGGAUCAACACUCCACAACACAUGCCACCUCCAACAGUGCACAUCCCACCACUAUCUUAACUCAUCCCACUGGUGUCAUAGUAUAUCCCUCCGACAUUGCAGAUCCCAUUAGUACCUUGUCGCAUACCACUGGUGUUGUGCUUUCCACCUAUACUAUUGCACAGCCUACCACUAACAUUGCACAUCUUACCCCCACGUCAUCAUGCCCCACUACCACUGACAAAGCACAUCCCACCACUGCGAAGACAUCCCCCAACAAGUGCCUGGAGAAGACCUUCGUUAACACCCCCUCCAAGAAGGGUCGGGAAAAGGCCUCUGCAGGUAAUGGCCGUGAAAGAAAAUUAGUUGCUCUCCUACAACCCAAAGUUAGCCCGCGGAUGAAGAAGAUUGUCUGCGGGGAGUGCGGGAAGUUGAUCAGCAAGUGUUAUAUGAAAACUCACCUGCUGAUACACGCAGACAUCAGGAAACACGAGUGCAAGAUAUGUAAAAAGAAGUUCACACACAAAUCAACUCUCCAAAACCACAACUCGAUUCACACUGGGAAGAAAUUUGAGUGUUUAGAGUGCGGGAAAGCCUUCACGCGUAAGAGCUACCUGACGUUUCAUACCAAAAUCCAUCUCGACGAGGCUUACAGGAACAGCAUCGACGACCCAUUGUAAGCCCGUAAACGAUGUCGGUAUCCCAAGACACUUUAAUCCCCGGCAUCAAAAGUGUUUGCUUCCCCUUUUUCAAAUCUUAAUCAAUUUUUUUUUUGGGGUGUGUUUCAUGGUGCAGGUGUUUAUUUUAUUUUAUUUAUUUAUUUAUUUUUUACGUCGCGGCCGAUUGCGCCGGUAGGCUACUUCCUGGUGGAUCCUGAUGGUCGGCCCAGCCCGUUCUGGCGCAGGCGAGUGUUUAUAGUGGCGCCAUCUUGCAUUGGCUUAUGCUGCCUUCCUGGAGUUCAUCUGUAAUCCUAGAAUCUAGAGUCCGGGUUGAUAGGUGGUCUUCUGGACAGCAUGUGGGUAGUUUUAAGCCACUCGGCGGCGGCUGAAAAAUGCCAGCUUGGUGGGACCGGGCGGGGGUUGAACUCACGUCGUCCUGAACGCGGCGCCGUCACGCUAUCCAUUCAGCCACCGUCGUGUGAUGAUGGGGAAGUGGAAUUCAGGGAACUAUACCACCGCUUCUAGUAAAGGUGGGUUGCUUGUCAUCAUCAUUGUAUCAGUGGAUGUUAAUUCAAGGGACGAGGAGAAACUGGAUUAAAGGAAUAAAAAGUUGUGCAGGAA